rnacentral:tRNA from 1 species
GGGGGCGUGGCGAAAUCGGUAAACGCAAGCGACUUAAAAUCGCUCGGCUUUGGCCUUACGGGUUCAAGUCCCGUCGCCCCCACCA